rnacentral:rRNA from 1 species
AUGCAGCUUCUUCAGAACUUCAGUUUGUGCAGCUGCGGUUCUAAGCGGAGCCGCUCACGAUCCUCACCUCGCGCGACUCCGAGUUGUUCCUCCCGCGCGCCUGCGGCGGCGAGAAGGGCGCAGCGCCGGUCGCCGCCUCCGGGACACGGCCCGCCCCCGCUUCUCCUCCAGGGAGCAUCUGCUUCCCUCUUCCCCUCACAGCAACCUCUGCCCAGUUCAGUAUGUACUGUACAUCCCAAGUGGAACUGUAGUGGGCUCUGCAUCAAAUUCGAUAGUCUCUGUGAAAAUCAUUUUCGAAUGAUAAUAUUUAUGUUGUUUAUUCUCUGGAAAACCAAAUUUGAAUGUACUACUGGGUUGUGUUUAUUAGCCCUCCUGUAA